UACAGUAAAAGUAACAGAUAUCUUCCAGCUGCUUGUGCUGCAUUAUCAGAAGAUGUGAUUGUUUCUUCUUCUCAGUUUGAAGACUUCUCUGUCACUAAAGCUACAAAUAUCAAUGAGAAUAAAGAACUAAAGGUAUGAAAUACGGUGAGUUUUAUUCUUAGAUUCCUUAUAUCUAUAAUCCUCAGAUUACUAUCUUUCAAAUAUUUUGUUUGUAGUUACUUCACUUAGACAUUCAAUUUAGUCUCUAAAAACAAGUCUACUCCUUGCCAUUGAUUAUCCAUUAGUUA